rnacentral:piRNA from 1 species
UGCUGUCAUGAAAUUGAACAG